rnacentral:rRNA from 1 species
UGGGGAAUAUUGGACAAUGGGGGCAACCCUGAUCCAGCAAUGCCGCGUGAGUGAAGAAGGCCUUAGGGUUGUAAAGCUCUUUCGCCCGUGACGAUGAUGACGGUAACGGGAGAAGAAGCCCCGGCUAAUUCCGUGCCAGCAGCCGCGGUAAUACGGAAGGGGCUAGCGUUGUUCGGAUUUACUGGGCGUAAAGCGCAUGUAGGCGGCGGAUCAAGUGGGGCGUGAAAGGCCUGGGCUCAACCUGGGAACUGCGCUUCAGACUGGUUUGCUCGAGUUCGGGAGAGGGUGGUGGAAUUCCCAGUGUAGAGGUGAAAUUCGUAGAUAUUGGGAGGAACACCGGUGGCGAAGGCGGCCACCUGGCCCGAGACUGACGCUCAAGUGCGAAAGCGUGGGGAGCAAACAGG